UACGUAUGGUGCGAGCGUUGUUCGGAAUCACUGGGCAUAAAGAGCGCGUAGGCGGUUGAGCAAGUCCAUUGUGAAAUCCCCCGGCUUAACCGGGGAACUGCAUUGGAUACUACUUGACUUGAGUACAGGAGGGGAGAGUGGAAUUCCUGGUGGAGCGGUGAAAUGCGUAGAUAUCAGGAGGAACGCCGGCGGCGAAAGCGGCUCUCUGGUCUGUGACUGACGCUGAGGCGCGAAAGCUAGGGGAGCAAACGGG
rnacentral:rRNA from 1 species